rnacentral:rRNA from 1 species
UACGAAGGGGGCUAGCGUUGCUCGGAAUCACUGGGCGUAAAGGGUGCGUAGGCGGGUCUUUAAGUCAGGGGUGAAAUCCUGGAGCUCAACUCCAGAACUGCCUUUGAUACUGAGGAUCUUGAGUUCGGGAGAGGUGAGUGAAACUGCGAGUGUAGAGGUGAAAAUUCGUAGAUAUUCGCAAGAACACCAGUGGCGAAGGCGGCUCACUGGCCCGAUACUGACGCUGAGGCACGAAAGCGUGGGGAGCAAACAGG